rnacentral:lncRNA from 1 species
GCUAAAUAUGUACAUUUCAUCAGGACGCUGUUAAAGCAUGUGGUUCAGGUGAAAAAAUCUGUGCUAGAACUUAAUUAAUAAUUUUGGAUAAAGCGAUACAAGAUCUAAAUUAAGUUAACUCUUGUACUUUUCUCAACAAAUUGUAUUUCUUACCACGCGUCAUACAAAUAUCAGAACGAGCUGCAGAUUAAUUACUAAAAUUGAACCUUGCUGGACAGUUUGAAGUGCAAGAGCAGUGGCGGCAGUUUGGAAAUUGGUAAGCUCUGAUAGAAGCUGAAGUGCAGAGGUUUUAAGAGUGUUGGCCUUUAAUGAGAGAUGUUUUAAAUGUGAAUAUCAAUAUUUUAGUUUUAUGAGAAAAUAGCUUAACUAUUAGAGCUGUCAUCGUUGUAACGACUAUGGAAUGACUGAACAUAGGAUAUGUAAAUUGCUG